AGGAAACAGAGAUAUCCAUUACAUCCUUUAUUCCCCUCCCCGUGCCCUCCCUCUCAUUCUAUUUUCAGCUCAGUUUUGAACAGGAAAGUUCGAUUGAUAAAGCACAGAAUCUAUAACAGCACGCACAGAGGUGAAGGGUUAUUGAAUAUUCUGCAGAUGAACUAUUAAAAAUGCAUAUUAUCUCAUUAUUCCUGCUGCCAAAUAGCUGGAAACCAUAUAUGCCAUGAUGAGACAGAAAAUGGUUCUUGUCUUUUGCUUUUCUUGACCUGACAGAGGGCAUGUGGGGGAAAAAAAAAGAAAGAAAGAAAAAGGGCGAGAGGGGAGGGAGGAGAGAGGUCUUUUAAAAACUGCUUCAGUGCACUAAUGUCCCUGAAACCUGAACCCUUAUUGGAUCUGAAGGGCAUCCUCCAUACCCUCUGUUUAGAGGUGAACAUUAAAGGGAUUGCUUUCAUUCAGGGAAGGAGAGGCGAAAAAGCCUUCCAGCAGAACCCACUCCGGCUCAGCCCUUCUUCCUGUGAGCCUGUCCCCUUGUCUCCGCUGCCGGGGCUGAUUGACCAGCCCCUCCGACAACCCCGGCAGCCAGCUCGCCCGGACGGCUCUCUUGCGCCCACGGUUGUUACUGUGAUGCAGCCAAGCACAGUUAUCUGCCUCGUGGCCUCUGACGUUUGCGUGAAGAAGAGAGAGGAUGUGCUCAACCUUCCUGCUGUACACCUGCACCUCCAACCUAUGGGGUCUUGACCCUACUGAGAAAAAAAAAAAUACGAAACAGUCGGGGUCGUGAUGUCAGUGAUGAGGAUGAGGAUGAAGAUUGUGCAGGUGAUGUCAUUGGUCUUUAUUUAGCCUUCUUACCUCAACACACACUGGAAGACAGCGAACAGCAACAUUCUGCCAGGUAUCUGGUUUCUCUCCCUGACUUGGCUGGGACAAGGAGGAGAAGCAGGAGGAGGAAGAGGAGGAGGAGGAAGAGGAGGAGGAAUAUCUGGUUACAGCAGGGAGCAGCGAGCGUGGGGACAGAUCUGUUUACUUGGGGAAGUUAAUUGAUUGGGAGGAAAGGUGGCGAGGGGAGAAAGGAAGAAAAGUGGUGUAAGGGGCAAACAGAGGAGGGUCAGGAGGGCAUUGAUCAUGUGACUUCUCCUGCCAUAACCUCCGAUAAGCUUCUGUGCUUUUUAUUGCACUGUAGUGCCAAAUGAGACUGUUUCGUGUAAAAACAGUGGAGAAAAACAACAUGUGCUC